AUUGAACGCUGGCGGCAUGCCUUACACAUGCAAGUCGAACGGCAGCACGGGAGCUUGCUCCUGGUGGCGAGUGGCGAACGGGUGAGUAAUGCAUCGGAACGUGCCCUGAAGUGGGGGAUAACGUAGCGAAAGUUACGCUAAUACCGCAUAUUCUGUGAGCAGGAAAGCAGGGGACCGCAAGGCCUUGCGCUCUUUGAGCGGCCGAUGUCAGAUUAGCUAGUUGGUGAGGUAACGGCUUACCAAGGCGACGAUCUGUAGCGGGUCUGAGAGGAUGAUCCGCCACACUGGAACUGAGACACGGUCCAGACUCCUACGGGGGGCAGCAGUGGGGAAUUUUGGACAAUGGGCGCAAGCCUGAUCCAGCCAUGCCGCGUGAGUGAAGAAGGCC
rnacentral:rRNA from 1 species